AGCUUUGCGCAGUGGCAGUAUCGUAGCCAAUGAGGUUUAUCCGAGGCACGAUUAUUGCUAUUUUGUGACUCUAGUUCUCCUAUUCAACAACAAUAUACAUGGACAAAGUUGAUUGAGAAAACAACCUAUCUAGG